AUAAUGGGUACAUUGAGUGUAUAUGAUGUGGAUGAAGAUGAACACUUGGAACUGAAAGUCAUUUCCACAUACAGCAAGUUCAGUUUGGUCUCACAGCGAUGUGUGCCAUUACAGAACGUCAACAACUACUGCACCGCGUCCAUCUUGAUGGAGGAGUCGGUGGACUUCGAAGAGGUGCAGGAGUUCCACAUCACUGUCAUGGCGACGGACAAGAGGAAGGUCCGCAUCUCAAACACUAUGACAAUCCGUGUCAAAGACGCCAACGACCCUCCUAAAGAUAUAAUUCUAAAUGGCCUAACGUCCAACGAGGUCAAAGUUCCCGAAGAUCAACGGUCCUUCACUGUAGCUACUGUUACCACCGUGG